GUGUAAGUACGGUAGUCAAGUAGAUGAGGUCACGAGAUGAACCAACACAUCCUCACAUCAUUUGUUCAAAUGCUGCACACUGCUUUAUGGUAUCGAAAUACUAGCGUUAAUAAAACAAACAAUUUAAAUAUUCAACAAGAGACACUACUAAUACAGUAUUAGAGAAGAUUAUAGUCCUGAGGGGGGGGGGGGGAGAAAGACUGUGCCGCUGGUCAAUGUGUAGGCUACCCGGUCACGUGGCUUACUUACAAUUGACCAACCAGAGACAGGUCUACAUGAUAGGCUACAGCCUAUUGCAUCAUUAAGAAAAAUAGCGCCAGAACCAAACACCAUGACCAUCCCAUUCCAGUCAUAGUACUCAUAGAUCUACUUCAAGAUUGUGUUGAUUUGUGAUUAACUCGACUCUAUUCUAACAACUUUGGAAUGUGUGCGUCAAGCAAAGACUCUUGGAACCAAAGAGUGAAAGAAUGAUGGCAUCACUAUGAUCACUUCUUGCUGGAUCUGUCCAAGAGUCAAUGAGUACAGGUGGACCAUGUUGGAAAAUAACUUUUAGUCAAGACUCAAGUUGAGACAAGAGCUCCAUUGAUGUUAUUGAUCAAACUGAACAUGUUCUAGAGAUACUGGAGAAAAGAUUUGAGUGCAGUACAGACUCAUUAAUUAAAAGAAGCAGAGAUAAAUACAAUCAGGAUUGGGUAUGAAGCAAAAUUCCAAAUGGCAAAUAAUGUAUCACUGUUGGAAAUAGAAGUGAAACUGAAGGAUGAAGAUUCUCAUGAAAAUUUGAUCUAUCCAGUGAAAACAGCAUUAAGAGAACAAUAGUAUGGAUUAUAACUUGGCUGGACUGGACAUGGCACAAACAGAAAAUAAAUGUAUUGAAUUUUCAAUCCAAAUUAUGGAUAUUAGAUUAUUCAAGUGAGUUACCCAAGUCUGUCAAAUAACUUAGAGAAAGUACUUGAACUUGGCACAUGUGAUGGCACAGAAAUCGUAAAAAAAAGAAGGAUGAUCCCAAACAUGUAAAACAUUUUACAAACAAACCUAAUCAAAGUUUAUAAAUGUUUAAAAAAAGUAAGAUGCACAAGCAAAUUUAUUUACAUACUACAGAUAUUAGAGCUAAUGACUAAUGGAAAAAAAAACUACCUAUCUAGACUUAACAACAAAGAAAUAAGUAAAUAUAAUAUUUCAAACAUGUGCUGGAUCUUGUUAGUUUAAUAACAUACUAUGUAGGUGCAUUACAUAAAACAUGUAGUGGUUCUUGGUUGUUGAUUACCGGUACUGUGCUUUUUUCAAAUACACAUUAGUUUUGUCAUAUAUUUAUUAUAAAUAUUUAUGUUCACCAUUAAUUAUUUCGUUCAGCUAUAGCAACAUAAGGAAGGCAUGGUGGCUAAGUGGUUAAGCAUUUGGCUUCCAGACCCGAAUUAGAAUCUCAGUGAAAAUUGGGAUUUUUAAGACACCCUAACUCUGAUGGAUACUGGUACCUGAUUUUAGCUGGGGAAAGUAAAGACAGUUGUUUAGCUAGCCACAUGACACCCUGCUUGUUAACCAUUAGCCAAAGAAACUGAUGGCCUUAACAUCAUUUGCCCUAUAGAUGCUAAGUUUGAAAAGGGGAACUUUACUUUUAUUACAACAUAAGGUUAUAAGUUGACAGUUACAGAUGAUGUACCAUAUGAGCAUCAUUGUUGUUUACUGGUUUUUGAACAGUAGCUUGAAACAUUUGCUCUUACUUACAUAGAAUAUUCACUGUUAAAAAAUUAUGAAUAUGAUAGUGCAGCUAGUUACUCUGCUCAAAAUUGAAAAAAAUAUUUUGUUGAAAUUAUAAACAUGAGCUACCGGUAUAUAUAAAUGUAUAGUUUUCAUUGUUGAGCACACACUUUUUCUUUGGUACUGGGUAACGUACAUGACCUAUAUUUUUUUUAAGAUAUUAUCAUCUAAAAUUAGGCGAGGUCUUGAGAAUAUUUACCUCGAACAGACUCAUCUUUGGGUUUUUGUGCAUGUAGACCCUAUUGAUUAAAAAGCACCAUUCUCUAAUUAUAUUUUACUUGUUUAAAUUUAUAUAUUUAUGGUUAUUAAUUAUUCUUUGUAUUUAUUUUUUUAUUUUUUUUUUGUAAAGUAAGCACUGGUAUUUUUCUAAAAGUAUGUUUCACAUUUAUUUCAUUUUAAACAAAUUAAGUCAUUUACUUAAUGUUCAAUUAUGUUCUAAAUGUAUGUUUUUAAAAUUUCAGUGUUUAUAUUGCUAACAUUUCACAAACUUGUUACAGGUAGCUUAUUUUUGUUUUGGUCAUUUUUUCUUUAGAACUACCGGUACAACAUAAUCUGAUGUUAAUUUUUAAAAAAAACAUUUGUUUCAUGAUUGUGAAAACAGUUUGCUUUUCAAUUUACAUACAGCAGGCUCAUACUUUGUUUAGAUAAUUCUGAAUUACAUUCUAUAUAUAAUUUAUAUGUUUCUGUAUAGGCUAUUCAAGUUUUUGUACAUGUUAAAAUUUCAUAAAUUUGGUAGCCAUUAUAUUUUUUAAAAAAUUUUAUGGUAUAAGUACUUAUUGUAUUUUUAAAAAUAUAAGCAUCCAUAUUUUAAAAACUUAUUUCUAAUUUGCCAUUUUAAGCAAUUUGUUAUUACAAUUAAUAUUUAAAUGAAUAUGCUUUUACUUAUUUCAGUGUACAUAAUGCUUACAUUCCACCAACUCAAUACUUUUUUUGUUACUUUUUUUUUUUAAUAUUUUUUUUACAUAAUUACAAAAGCUAAGUUGUUGUUUUUGGUUGUUAUUGUUGUUGUUUUUAUGAUUGUCAAAACUGUUUGCUUUAAACAUAAUUUUUAUACAGCACUUGUACUUUCUGUAGAUGAUCCUGAAUUAUGUUCUUUAUAAAUUUGUUAUAGAUUUUCAUGUUAUCAUUCACAACUUUUUUGUUGACUCAAUGCAUUUUCCAUAGUAUACUAUAAUAUUAUAGGAUCAAUUUUCACAGUUAAAAUCUUUGCUACAGGUAUUGCUUUUACUUUUUAAAAAUUGUUUUAGUGUAUUCCGGUAUUUUUAAUUAUUUUUAAUAGUUGCUAACAUUAACAUUUUAUAAUGCAAUAAACUAUUUAUUUCAA